rnacentral:rRNA from 1 species
UACGUAGGGUGCAAGCGUUAAUCGGAAUUACUGGGCGUAAAGCGUGCGCAGGCGGUUUUGUAAGUCUGUCGUGAAAAUCCCCGGGCUCAACCUGGGAAUUGCGAUGGAGACUGCAAGGCUAGAAUCUGGCAGAGGGGGGUAGAAUUCCACGUGUAGCAGUGAAAUGCGUAGAGAUGUGGAGGAACACCGAUGGCGAAGGCAGCCCCCUGGGUCAAGAUUGACGCUCAUGCACGAAAGGCGUGGGGAGCAAACAGGAUUAACGAAACC